rnacentral:rRNA from 1 species
GACGAACGCUGGCGGCGUGCUUAACACAUGCAAGUCGAACGAUGAAGCCCAGCUUGCUGGGUGGAUUAGUGGCGAACGGGUGAGUAACACGUGAGUAACCUGCCCUUGACUCUGGGAUAAGCGCUGGAAACGGCGUCUAAUACCGGAUACGACCUGCCCCGGCAUCGGGUGCGGGUGGAAAGUUUUUCGGUCAAGGAUGGACUCGCGGCCUAUCAGCUUGUUGGUGAGGUAAUGGCUCACCAAGGCGACGACGGGUAGCCGGCCUGAGAGGGUGACCGGCCACACUGGGACUGAGACACGGCCCAGACUCCUACGGGAGGCAGCAGUGGGGAAUAUUGCACAAUGGGCGAAAGCCUGAUGCAGCAACGCCGCGUGGGGGAUGACGGCCUUCGGGUUGUAAACCUCUUUUAGUAGGGAAGAAGGGCUUCGGCUUGACGGUACCUGCAGAAAAAGCACCGGCUAACUACGUGCCAGCAGCCGCGGUAAUACGUAGGGUGCAAGCGUUGUCCGGAAUUAUUGGGCGUAAAGAGCUCGUAGGCGGUUUGUCGCGUCUGCUGUGAAAACCCGAGGCUCAACCCCGGGCCUGCAGUGGGUACGGGCAGACUAGAGUGCGGUAGGGGAGAAUGGAAUUCCUGGUGUAGCGGUGGAAUGCGCAGAUAUCAGGAGGAACACCGAUGGCGAAGGCAGUUCUCUGGGCCGUUACUGACGCUGAGGAGCGAAAGCGUGGGGAGCGAACAGGAUUAGAUACCCUGGUAGUCCACGCCGUAAACGUUGGGAACUAGAUGUGGGGACCUUUCCACGGUCUCCGUGUCGCAGCUAACGCAUUAAGUUCCCCGCCUGGGGAGUACGGCCGCAAGGCUAAAACUCAAAGGAAUUGACGGGGGCCCGCACAAGCGGCGGAGCAUGCGGAUUAAUUCGAUGCAACGCGAAGAACCUUACCAAGGCUUGACAUAUACCGGAAACUUCCAGAAAUGGUUGCCCCGCAAGGUCGGUAUACAGGUGGUGCAUGGUUGUCGUCAGCUCGUGUCGUGAGAUGUUGGGUUAAGUCCCGCAACGAGCGCAACCCUCGUUCUAUGUUGCCAGCACGUCAUGGUGGGAACUCAUAGGAGACUGCCGGGGUCAACUCGGAGGAAGGUGGGGAUGACGUCAAAUCAUCAUGCCCCUUAUGUCUUGGGCUUCACGCAUGCUACAAUGGCCGGUACAAAGGGCUGCGAUACCGUAAGGUGGAGCGAAUCCCAAAAAGCCGGUCUCAGUUCGGAUUGAGGUCUGCAACUCGACCUCAUGAAGUCGGAGUCGCUAGUAAUCGCAGAUCAGCAACGCUGCGGUGAAUACGUUCCCGGGCCU